UCGUUUUCUUCUCCCUUCGGUUUGCUGUCGUCAUUUGCGAGCGCCCGCCUCAUCUCCCCGACGCGCGCCGCCGGGCUGUUCUCCCGCCCCAUGUUGGUGGAACGCGCUACGAGCCUCCUCUCCCCGGCCGAUCCGGAUGGAGCGCGACGCCGGCCUCCUGUCCCCGACGCACGGCGGCAGCCUCCUAUCCCCGACCGAUCCGUGUGAAGCGCGGCGUCGGCCGACCUCCUCUCCCCGUCGGAUGAGGCCGCCUCCCUCUCCUCGUCCCUCUCCCGGCGGCCGGAGCGCGUGAUAGGGCGGAUCGAGGUGGGCAAUUCCACCACGACGACGAGAUUCAGAUCCGACUCCCGGCGCCAUUGCGGCCUCUGUCCCGGCGGCGUGGUCGUGGUGUGCACGAGGUCCUUCCCUUCGUUCGUGCGCGGGAAAGGCUGCUACGCCAUCGACAGCCUGCUGGUCGUCUGGGACUGACAAAGGCGACGAAGAACUGUGUAGUGUGUAUGUGCCAACAAAUCAUAUAUACAUUGGUGACAUAUUUCUGGUGAACUAUGAGGAGAUCAUACGACCUAAUUUAUCCAUUAGAGAAGGAAUUGAAAUAAUUGUUUCAGGAGGAAUGACCAUGCCCGAAAAGCCAGAACAUUCGCUUAAAUAGAAUGUGAUGAUGUAACACAAGUUACCGAUGCAACAAGAUAAAAAAUCAUCAGCAUAUUAGCCCCAUCAGUUCUGUUUUGCAUCUUUACGGACAUGGAGUUGUGCAUCAAGCAGAUAGCGCUACCUAUGGAUGGGUGACUCGGUGCUUGGAUAGGGGAACUGUCAUAGGAUGAACUUCUCAAGCGGAGAUUUGGAGGGAUCUUUUUGAGAUUUGGUCGGGGAUGAUUCUGAAUUUACCUUGUACGUAGGUUUAAUGCUAGUAUGAGAGAUGUAGGCGGGACGGACGAUCGUUUGCUAGUGAGAGUAAAUGCUCGAGGGGUUUUAGAUAGGUUCGGGCUGCACGGAGCGUAAUACUCUACUCCUGUAUGUAUGUUAUUAAUACUCUGGGAAUACCUUUCUCUGGA